rnacentral:misc_RNA from 1 species
GCCGGUUGUCGGUGGCCACAGCCUGUGCGCAGUGGACGAGCAAGGUGCUCAGCUCCACCGCCUCGUCGGCGCUCGACCUCCUUCCCUGUUUGCCCUUCCUGCUGUUCUUCUUAGCCUCGCCGCUGCCCAUACUGAUCCGCAGGGCCUUCAUUUCUCUGAGGCACAUUUCGAGUCCGUUGAAGAUCAUUUGAUCGACCAUCUCGUCAGUUUCCUCGGGCUCGGGAACCAUCAGCUUGCUCUUCCUGAACGUCUCAGCCUCCAAGUCAUCCCAACCGAGCCUGUCCCUGUCCUUGCGGCCCCUGCCAUUAAUGCC